rnacentral:lncRNA from 1 species
AUGACCACACGAAGCCCGCUGCAUCUGAUGUUUGGGUGUGAGCCUGUGCACUGUGGCGAGCCCUGGGGUCCUUUUAAAACGCCCUCGCGCACUCCCCUGUGGUGUCUGGGGGCCCUCGUUGCCCGCGCCUGCGUGAAGCCAGCCGUGGGGGAGCCGGACUUCGCAGGCUUCCCUAAGCCAGGACCUGGAAGAAAUUGUGCAGAACCUUGCAGCAGGCUCUUGCUCCCCUCCUCCGUGACGCCCGCUCUUCUCUCCCCGGCCGUGUCAGCGGCUGCCCGUGUCCAGCUUUCCUACGGCUGCAGCCUGCGGGUCCCCACAGCCCCGAGGAUACCGGAGGCUGCAAACUCGACAACAGUGGGACUCCCUUCCCCUCCAAAAAGAACCUCUGCCGCCCAGAGACGCAGUGGCAGGUGCUGGCCAGGCUGCAGGGAAAGAGGAACUGCUGCACUGCUGGCGAGAACAGAAGCAGGCGCCCGCUGUGGGAAUCAGCCUGGGGACUCCUCAAGAAACUAAAAGUAGAAGCCCCGCUGGAGCCAGCACAGCUGUGUUCCUAGCAGCACAAUUGACGAUCGCUAAAUCUUGGAAGCAGCCUAGACUGUGUGACCAUCAACAGAUGAGUGGAUAAAAACACGCAGCAUUAACACACGGCGGAGUACUACCUCUUCCACGAAGAAGCACCCACUGGAGGCAUUUGUAGGAAAAGCAAUGCGCCUUGAGUCCAUAAUGUUAAAUAAAUCAGAUACACAGGUUUCUCUGAGAUGAGAAACCCAAAGCAUAAGCAAAUUGAAGGGCAAAAGAAAAGAUAGAUAACAGGAGACAGGGUGAGAGACCUUUCAUAAAUAGGAAGGGGCCCCAGAGAUGGAAGAAAAGGCGGGGAAAGGGAAUAAACAGACACGGGCCCGCUGUGCACACAGUGAAUGCGAUCAUUGUGUGCUGCAAAUAUCACUAAUAAAAAUAUAAAUAUUUGCCAACAAAGGUAAGCGGCACCAGAAGCCCUUGCUCCCUCUUACGUAGGGCAGUGGACACCGAGGAGAGCCCCGUCCAGGACGAGCCGGGCCCUUCCCUCAGAUUCUGCUGUGCUCCUGGGUCUCUCGCUCGGUUCCACAAUGGCCAGCAAGGGAGUUGGCAGCCCAGGGACCGCUCCUCUCAGCCCGCUCGGCCCCCCACACUGGGAAGCUGAGGCAGGAGAAUCACAGUUCAAGCCCAGCCUGGGCCAUUUAGCAAGAGCCCGCCUGAACAGAACAAAAAGGCUGAGACACUGCUCAGCAGGAAGGCCUUGGGUUCAAUCCCCGGUGCUGAAAAAACGAAACAAAAGACCCCAGUCAUGAGCUGCGGCCUUAGCUCAAGAGCAUUGCAUGCGCCCAGCCAGCCCCAGCCAGGCCUGGUUCCAACCCCAGCUCCAGAGGAAGGCAGA